rnacentral:rRNA from 1 species
CACGCNGUAAACGAUGAGUGCUAGGUGUUAGGCCCUUUCCGGGGCUUAGUGCCGGAGCUAACGCAAUAAGCACUCCGCCUGGGGAGUACGACCGCAAGGUUGAAACUCAAAGGAAUUGACGGGGGCCCGCACAAGCGGUGGAGCAUGUGGUUUAAUUCGAAGCAACGCGAAGAACCUUACCAGGUCUUGACAUCCCGAUGCUAUUCUUAGAGAUAGGAAGUUACUUCGGUACAUCGGAGACAGGUGGUGCAUGGUUGUCGUCAGCUCGUGUCGUGAGAUGUUGAGUUAAGUCCCGCAACGAGCGCAACCCUUAUUGUUAGUUGCCAUCAUUAAGUUGGGCACUCUAGCGAGACUGCCGGUAAUAAACCGGAGGAAGGUGGGGAUGACGUCAAAUCAUCAUGCCCCUUAUGACCUGGGCUACACACGUGCUACAAUGGUCGGUACAACGAGUUGCGAGCCGGUGACGGCGAGCUAAUCUCUGAAAGCCGAUCUCAGUUCGGAUUGGAGGCUGCAACUCGCCUCCAUGAAGUCGGAAUCGCUAGUAAUCGCGGAUCAGCACGCCGCGGUGAAUACGUUCCCGGGCCUUGUACACACCGCCCGUCACACCACGAGAGUUUGUAACACCCGAANU